rnacentral:misc_RNA from 1 species
GUAGGUGAACCUGCGGAAGGAUCAUUACAGUGAGGCUGCUCGGGCACCCCCCGAGUCCGCUUUCAAAACCCAAUGCUUACCAAUCCAGGUUGCUUCGGCGGGCCGUCCGGCCCAGCUGGCCACCGGCUUCGGCCGGUGAGCGCCCGUCAGAGGACCGUAAAAAUCAGGUGUACCGGCAGUCAGAGCCCAAAGUAAAAUGAAGCAAAACUUUCAACAACGGAUCUCUUGGUUCCGGCAUCGAUGAAGAACG